AUUUCUAUGCAAGGGACAUAGAGUAGUGAAAGAUCUAAAUAAAUUAGUCAGCUAAAUGAAUUGGAUUAUUUUCUUCUAACCCUCUCUCAUUGCCAGAUGGAAACCAGAUGAGACCAGGACUUAUUUCCUAGGUCUCUCCCUGCCCAGAAAGAGUUGCCCUGUGGAUUCUGAAAGGGAAUCCCUGUUCAUUUUGCUACGCCAGACUGCAGUAGCUACCCCAGAAGCUUCCUUUGGGGUCUGCAACCUGCUCUAUAAGACUGCAUCACCUCGGGCCAGGGAUUUAGCUCAGUGGUUUCACUGCCUGCUGCACAAGCACAAGGACCCGAGUUCGAUCCCCGGUACCAAAAAAAAGACUGC
rnacentral:lncRNA from 1 species